UACAGAGGGUGCGAGCGUUGUCCGGAAUCACUGGGCGUAAAGGGCGCGUAGGUGGCGGCCCAAGUCCAUGGUGAAAGCUCGAUGCUCAACAUCGAGUCGGCCACGGAUACUGGGUUGCUCGAGCACUGUAGGGGCAGAUGGAAUUCCGGGUGUAGCGGUGGAAUGCGUAGAGAUCCGGAAGAACACCGGUGGCGAAGGCGGCCUGCUGGGCUAUGGCUGACACUGAGGCGCGACAGCGUGGGGAGCAAACAGG
rnacentral:rRNA from 1 species